rnacentral:rRNA from 1 species
UACGGAGGGUGCAAGCGUUAUCCGGAUUCACUGGGUUUAAAGGGUGCGUAGGUGGGCAGGUAAGUCAGUGGUGAAAUCUCCGGGCUUAACCCGGAAACUGCCGUUGAUACUAUUUGUCUUGAAUAUAGUGGAGGUGAGCGGAAUAUGUCAUGUAGCGGUGAAAUGCUUAGAUAUGACAUAGAACAUCGAUUGCGAAGGCAGCCCACUACGCAACUAUUGACGCUGAGGCACGAAAGCGUGGGGAUCAAACAGG